GUUUAGGGUUGCUCUAUUAUGUCAUCCGAGUCGAGCGAAUCGAUGGGAGCUUGCUCCCUGAGAUUAGCGGCGGACGGGUGAGUAACACGUGGGCAACCUGCCUAUAAGACUGGGAUAACUUCGGGAAACCGGAGCUAAUACCGGAUACGUUCUUUUCUCGCAUGAGAGAAGAUGGAAAGACGGUUUACGCUGUCACUUAUAGAUGGGCCCGCGGCGCAUUAGCUAGUUGGUGAGGUAAUGGCUCACCAAGGCGACGAUGCGUAGCCGACCUGAGAGGGUGAUCGGCCACACUGGGACUGAGACACGGCCCAGACUCCUACGGGAGGCAGCAGUAGGGAAUCUUCCGCAAUGGACGAAAGUCUGACGGAGCAACGCCGCGUGAACGAAGAAGGCCUUCGGGUCGUAAAGUUCUGUUGUUAGGGAAGAACAAGUACCAGAGUAACUGCUGGUACCUUGACGGUACCUAACCAGAAAGCCACGGCUAACUACGUGCCAGCAGCCGCGGUAAUACGUAGGUGGCAAGCGUUGUCCGGAAUUAUU
rnacentral:rRNA from 2 species